rnacentral:lncRNA from 1 species
UUUGGCCAGGUCCGCCGAGCGAGCGUUGCCUCCCCACCCACCACACACAGUGUUUCUCUUCUGCCCUUUCCCCACCCACCCCACGAGAAAGCAAAUCGCCCGAACCCUAAAUCUCCGUCUUCCUUCCCGCUGGUCAGUCCCAUGGCCACCUCGCCUUCUUCCUCCACGCCGGUCGGCGGAUCGUCUUCGUCCCCGCCGUUCAGUCCCACGGCCACCUCGCCUUCUACCUCCACUCUGGUCGGCGAAUCGUCUUCCUCACCGCCGGUCAAGUUAGUCGCCAUUAACGAAAAUACGUCGGUUUUGACGGAAAGGCCGAGGACGUGGUAGCGACAGAGGAGGAAGGGUCGACGAAAUAGAAGAGACACUCCCACCGCCGUCAUGUUCCCGCCGGGAUCUGUUGAGGGCAGGCAGCAGCCUCAAGAGAGGAGGUCAUCCCUGCCGGUAAAGAUCAGAUCUUCUAAGACAAAGCAGAGGAUGGCACUCUCCCUGU